ACGGGCAUCAGAGAAGCUAGGAUAGCAGCCAACGCCAUCUAUAAUUGUUCCAAGAAACCAUGAUCCAAUGAAUCGACCGCUAUUUUGAUAUCGUCAUUAUGAUCGCUCCGCCUGUUCGCGUGGUGGCGUGGUGGUCGCGUAGUGCCCGUGGUGGCGUGGUGCAAAUACCGCCUGCCCAUAAUGCUGCCACCUCCGUGCUUCACAGUCGGUACGGUGUUCUUUGGAUUACCCCCCCCCCCGUUUUGCCAAACGUACUGCUGGCUUCUUUCUUGCCCUGCAGCUUCGUAGUCCACUACGAUGCAAGACCUUCUGGACAGUGGACAGUGACACAUUUGUCUCUGUAGCUUCCAAUUCCUGGCAGAGGUGUUUCUUGGUCGUCUCAGGGUUAAUGUGCACCUUUCUAACCAAUGUGGGCUCAUCUUUGGCUGUCAGCUUGCGCUUUCUUCCUGACCUUGGUAAGGUUACUGUUGUCCCUGGGUCCCUGUACUUCCGCUUUAUUGUCUGAACUGACGCCCGUGGCAUAUCAAGCUGCUUGAAAAUGGCUCUUAGUGAAGUACCAGACUGGUUCAAGUGGACAGGCGACUCUAUCAGAUCUUGAGAGUACUCCUUUGACUUCCCCAUGAUGGCUCUAAGCUGGCAAAUGACCUGAGCAGAAACCCAGUCCCUUUUAUACUGCUACAGUGGCGCCACCUGAGCUAUGACAUAAUCAUGAUGGUCAACAGGUAGUGGAGACAAGAUAAAAGCCAUUGCAUUGCCCACCUCAAGGCCAAACAACUAGUAGAUAAGAAAAGAAAAGCCAGCAAGGGAAAAGCAAGCAAGGCGAAGGGAGACUAUUGCGCAGCUGAGAGAAUAGACAACUACGACCCCAAAAACAACACGUAUUACAUAAAGUGGCAAGGAUAUGAUGCGUCCCACAACUCAUGGGUGAAAGCGGAAGACGUAACUUCUCCUCUCAUCUCUUCUUACAAAGAAAAAUUAGGUAAAUCAUGAUUGAAAGGAUUAUGGCUGUGUGCUCUAUGCAGUUGAUGUUGUAGUGGUUGUGAGUCAGGCUGAUGCAGCAGUUUCUUAGAGGUAGUGCCCAAUUCGAACAACUGUAGCUUAUCACAUAAUUAUCGUUUAUCAGAAUUGUGGAGUCAAAAGGAAGGAUUGACAAUCAAUUUAUUGAAAUUCCUUCAGAUGAUACAUUAAAAGAUGUCAUAAAACUCACCUGUCCAUUCAAAAGGCUUUUGUA